rnacentral:lncRNA from 1 species
GAUCCAAGCCACAUCUGUGACCUACACCAUAGCUCACAGCAAUGCUGGCUCCUUAACCCACUGAGCGAGGCCAGGGAUCAAACCUGCAUCGUCAUGGUUACUAGUCAAGUUUUAUUACCACUGAGCCACAACGGGAAAUCUGAAAGAUUUUUUUUAAAUUUUAAUAUAGUUGAUUUAUAAUGUUGUGUUUCAGGUGUACCACAAAGUGAUUCAGUUAUACAUACAUAUGUAUCUAUUUUUUUCAGGCUCUUUUCUCUUACAGGUUAUUACAAAAUAUUGAGUAGCGUUCCCUGUGCUAUAUAGUAGGUCCUUGUUCCAUGAAAAACUUUUGAAACAAGUGGCCCAGUGGCUCAUUCAGGGGUUGGUGGGAGCUGUUAGGCGUUCUGUGUGGAGUUAUAGAGGGGAGAACAAAACCCCAAAGGUAGGAAGAGUAAAACAAUUAAUGAACAGAAACCUUAAUUAAAUAGAGUCAGAAGACCAGUAGGGGCAGCUCUCACACCCUGUGAUGACAGAGCCCAGCAGGAAGAAGGAUUCCCUUUUCUUGCCUGAUGAGAGCUUUUCAGCCAAUGAGAGGCAGGAACAAUUCAGCCUGUGAAAGGCCAUGGCCUCUUUGCUUGCUAUAACCCUUCCUUUUUCCCUCUAUUAAAGAGUUUUCCUCUGCAUUUUUUUAUUUUCUUUUUUUUUUUUUAAGGGCCGCACCUGUGACCUAUGGAUGUUCCCAGGCUAGGGAUCCAAUCAGAGCUGCCGCUGCUGGCCCCUACAGCCCCAGCCCCAGCAAUGCAGGAUCAGAGCCUUGUCUUCGACCUACACCACAGCUCACGGCAACACUGGAUCCUUAACCCACUGAGCGAGGCGAGGGAUUGAACCCACGUCCUCAUGGAUACUAGUCAGCUUUGUUACUGCUGAGCCACUUCAGGAACUCCUUCCUCUGCAUUUUUGCUGGGGAUUUGCACGUGGGUUGCCAUGGUUGCAGAUCCUGAAUCGAACUUCUUUGUUGAUCCAAAAUAAAGCUUUUUAACAUUUUUUCUGGAGAAAUAACUGGUAGUCUGUUUGCUUAAGGGUGACAUUUUGGUAAACCAUACAGGAUCCAGACAAGACCGCUAAGGAGGCUGAGGCUGGUGUGUAAACAAGGGCAGGACCCACACUGAGCCCGUGAUUGUGACUGCUUUUCUCACCAUCCGUGGAGCCGGAGGGUAUGUUUUCCCUCUUGGAUCUGAGAUGUUACCCUCUUUGCAUUUUGAAGCUCUCCAGGUUUUACUUGAGAUCUGUUUUAAGGUUUUAUCCUAUCUGGUUGUUCUGAAUGUAAGUCUGGGUCUGAUUUUGAAAUCAGACUGUCUCAACUGGAUCUGUGUCGCCCUGACCCCUUCGUUUGGAGUAGGGGCUGUUCUACUGGAAUUGGGUUGAGUAGCUUUUGGCCCGACUCUCUUGGGGCCAGACUGUUCCCUUUAAACUGGCUGGUUCCAGGCUAUUUGGGCUAUUUGAACUGCAGGCUAUUUUGACGAAUUUGAGCUGUUUAGGCUGUUCAAAAAUUCUUUCACUCUAGAGAGAAACCUCUGAGAAGUGGGGUCCCAGUUAUCUAAAUAUUUUGAGGAUCUCCACCUAGUACAGGGACCCUGGCCGAUCUUAAUGUUGGAAAGCCUGUCUUUCCUCAUGUGCAUUUCUCACCAAAUGGAUUUGACCCCACCAAAGGCAGUUUAGAACAUCAGUGGCCCUUAUGGGGAACUUUUGAAAUCCCCAAACUUACUUUUCUUAAAAUCAGGUUGGACAACUGCAUCUCCAAAUUUCCCAAACUGAAUGAGAUGCCUCUUUUGAUGGGUGUUUAGAAGCUCCCGAAUGUUAUCAGGAGCUUGAAACGACCACUCUGCAAAAUAAGAUUUUAAGAUUAAGUCAGGCAAACAGAUGGUUAAAGAAAGUUACAAUGGCUUCCAAAGCCUCAGGCUCUUCUUCCUCGGCUUCUUUGUCUCAGGCUCUGCCUCUGGUGCCCUUCUCUCUCCUUAGGCUCUUCGGCCAGGCUUCACCUCCAGAACCAUCUUUCUCCUCGUCCACACUGCCUGCCCUUCCUCUACACCCCCAGUCCCCCUUCCAUACUAAUUCUCUUUCCAAACUUCUCUUUUUUUCUGAAGCUUUCUCCACUCCCUUUUCCUCUGAACUUAUCAGAACAUAUCCCUUUAAAAUUAAACCUUCUGGACUUCCUGUUGGGGCUCAGGGUGUUAAAAAUCCGACUGCUAUCCCUGAGGACGCAGGUUUGAUCCCUGGCCUUUCUCAGUGGGUUAUGGAUCCUGCGUUGCUGUGGCUGUGAUGUAGGCUGGCAGCUUCAGCUGCAGCUCUGAUUUGUCCCCUAGCCUGGCAACCUCCAUAUGCUGCAGGUAUGGCCCUAAAAAGAAAAACAAACAAACAAAAAAAUUAAGCCUUCUGAGGAUCCACGAGCUACACCCUUAAGUUCUUAUACUCCUUGGACUGGAGCUGAACUGUGAGCCAUAGUUAGAGGUUUUCCAGAGUAACCACAGGUCCUCACUGAUUUGCUGAGGGAUUCAGUGUAGCCAUUCUCACUUACCAGCCUGGUUUCUCCCAUCCAGCUGACAUGCUUGUCAGUGAAGACCAGGCCCAGCCUUGGAUGAAAACUGCUAAUUGGGAAAAUUCUGCAGGGCCUCUAGAAUUACAACUAGGAGACCGGCCCGCUGAUGUAUUGUCUAUUCAGGUCAGGCAAUUGCCAGACGACUUCAUUAGGCAAUUCCUCAGAUUUUUCCAAGUCUGGUGAACCUGUGUAUGAAUAUUAUAAUCAGCUUCAGGUUAUUUGUGAAGGAAAUUCUAGUCUUCCUUGAGAUACUGAUUUCACCUAGAUAGCUUUUAACUCUGUUUGUUAAUGGGCUGAACUGGGACCUUUCCCGUCUUGUCCAGUAGAGCAGGAUGGAAUGGAAAACUAUGUCCCGUUCCAGAUUUAGUUAAUCUGGUGAGCCAGGUCUCUGGCACUCUCUAGAUGAGUCAGUCACCUGAAAGGAAGAGAGCUAAAAUUCUUCAUCUUCAAUUCCAGCCACUGAAGGCCCCUCAAUGAAACCAAAACUCUCCCAGUUUCCACUGGUAUUGCAAACAGCCAGGACGUUGGAAAACAGACUGUUACAGAUUUUCGUGUUUCAAGUGCCUUCAUCCUUUUUUUUUUUUUUUUUUUUUUUUUUUUUUUUUUUNCCUGACCUAUGGCAUAUGGAAGUUCCCAGGCUAGGGACUGAAUCGGAGCUGUAGCCGCUGGCCUACGCUACAACCACAGCAAUGUGGGAAACAAGCCAUGUCUGUGACCUACACCACAGCUUGUGGCAACCCCUGAUCCUUAACCCACCGAGUGAGGCCGGGGAUGGAACUUGGGUCCUCAUGGAUACUAGUCGGAUUCAUUGCCUCUGAGCCACGACAGGAGCUCCACCUUCAUCCUUCUAACCAGACUUUCCAAGAUCCUCCCUCUUCUCAGUGCUGGGAAUUGGAGGAAUUACAGAGAACUUCCCAAUGCUUCAUCUUAAUUGGCUCAGAGAAACAUUUCUCCAGAUUGAGGAUGACUCUUUUCCAGUCCUAAGUGACACGGAGCCACACUUGGAGUGCUCAGCACUGCGACUAUAAAGCAGCCUCUGCCUCGGAGGGUUAAAACAAUUCAAACAGUGGGACUCUCUAAUGAACCUCAAAAGCUUUCUGCCCCUGAACCUAUUCCCUUCUAUUUAGGCCCUUGGUGAGAUCCAUCCCCUCUCCCCCUUGGUUCCUCUGUCACUGUCCAUUUUUCAGACUGAGACUUCUUAAAGAAGUAUCAUGCCAGAAUUUCUUUCUUCCAAAAGGGGGAAAUCAUUUUAGUAUUUGACAGUAGUCAUCAAAGCAACCAAUCAGGUUAAUUAAAUGACCUUUUGACGUCUUUUUAUUUGCUCCCUCUCUGACUGUACGAGGGCUGAUUCUGGAAACAAUGACCUUCUAUUGAAUCAGCCACUGCCUUUCCAUUUGGGCAAAAUCUCCAAGUGGUAUGGACAAAAUUCAUGGCACACCUCCCAUCAAAAUUCAAACAGUAUCCGUCAAAACCUCUUUCCAGAUUUAAUGAGUGUCCUCUACGUAAAGAAGCCCUUCAAGGCAUUAAAGCUCAUAGUCGAGGAUUACAAGGCUCGAGGCCUCAUUAUCCCUUAGAGGAGUCCCUCUAAUUCUCCUAUUCUAUGGGGACAAAAAUCUAAGGGCCAAGGUGGAGGCGUGUCCAGGACUCCUGAGCAAUACAUGACACUGUCAUCCUUCGCCACCCUGCUGUUCCUGACCCCCGUAUGUUACUCACAUCCAUUCCCACCAACAAUAAAUUCUUGACGCUAAUUGAUGUAUGCAGUGCAGUCUUUGGUAUUCCAGUCGAUUAGGCUAACCAAUGAUUUUUUUUUUUUUUUUGCCUUCACUUGGGAAGAAAAACAACUCACCUGGACGGUAAACCCUCAGAGAGUUUUACUGAGAUUCCUUCUUAGUUCUCAGAAAUCCUGAAGUCUGAUUUGGAUAAUAGAAAGCUCCCUAAAGGUUCUAUGUUGUUGCAGUAUGGGGCUGACUUGCCUCUUUGCUCUCCUGCUGAAGCCUCCUCACAGACGAACAGCAUCCACCUGCUAAAGCUUUUAACCGUAAAGGGAAAUAAGGUCACCGGGGAAACAUUGCAGUUUGCCAAAAGCUAGGUUUUAUAUUUAAGGCAUCUGAUGCCAGAAUAAGUGCUACGUCUAGACCCAUACAGGCUUCAUGGUGUCCUCAAUUUCCCCAAACCCAGGGGGAGGGAGCGGGAUGGACUGGAAAUUUGGGGUUCCUAGAUGCACACUAUUGCCUUUGGAAAGGAGAAGCAAUGAGAUCCUGCUGUCUAGCCCUGGGAACUACAUCUCAUCACUUAUGAUGGAGCAUGAUAAUGUGAGAAAAAAAGAAUGAUUAUAUGUUUGUGAGACUGGGUCACCUUGCUGUACAGUAGCAAAUUGACAGAACGCUGUAAACCAGCUAUAAUGGAAAAAAAUAAAAAAA